rnacentral:rRNA from 1 species
UACGUAGGGGGGCGAGCGUUUGUUCGGGAAUUAUUGGGCGUAAAGGGGUGCGUAGGCGGUUCCGCAAGUCCUGUGUGAAAUCUUCGGGCCUCAACUCGAAGUCUGCACGGGAAACUGCGGGGGCUUUGAGUGUGGGGAGAGGUGAGUGGAAUUCCCGGGUGUAGCGGUGAAUGCGUAGAUAUCGGGAGGAACACCGAUGGCGAAGGCAAUCCCCUGGGCCUGCACUGACGCUCAUGCACGAAAGCGUGGGGAGCAAACAGG